rnacentral:rRNA from 1 species
UUAAAAAGCUCGUAGUUGGAUUUCGGUUGAGAACGGCCGGUCCGCCGUUUGGUGUGCACUGGCUGGUUUCAACUUCCUGUGGAGGACGCGCUCUGGCUUCACGGCUGGACGCGGAGUCUACGUGGUUACUUUGAAAAAAUUAGAGUGUUCAAAGCGGGCUUACGCUUGAAUAUUUCAGCAUGGAAUAACACUAUAGGACUCCUGUCCUAUUUCGUUGGUCUCGGGACGGGAGUAAUGAUUAAGAGGAACAGUUGGGGGCAUUCGUAUUUCAUUGUCAGAGGUGAAAUUCUUGGAUUAUGAAAGACGAACUUCUGCGAAAGCAUUUGCCAAGGAUGUUUUCAUUAAU